UUGAUCCUGGCUCAGGACGAACGCUGGCGGCGUGCUUAACACAUGCAAGUCGAGCGGAGUAAAGAGGGGCUUGCUUUUCUUUACUUAACGGCGGACGGGUGAGUAACACGGGGGCAACCUACCCUGGGGAGGGGAAUAACAGGGAGAAAUCUUUGCUAAUACCGCAGUGAUCCAAGGUUUUGCAUAAAGCUUUGGAGAAAGGACAAAUCCGCCGUAGGAUGGGCCCGCGUCCCAUUAGCUAGUUGGUGAGAUAACAGCCCACCAAGGCGACGAUGGGUAGCCGACCUGACAGGGUGAACGGCCACAUUGGAACUGAUACACGGUCCAGACUCCUACGGGAGGCAGCAGUGGGGAAUAUUGCACAAUGGGGGGACCCUGAUUGUCACACGCAGCGUGAGCAUGAGUACUCGGAUGUAAAGCUUCGUCCUUCUGACUGAUAAUGUACGUAAGCGAGAGAAGCCAGGCUACUACGUGCCAGCAGCCGAAGUUAAUACUAGGUGGCGAUGCGUUGUCCUGGAAUUGCUGGGGUAAAGCGGUGCGUAGGACGGUUUUUCAGUUGGGAUGUGAAAUCUGAGACUUAACUUCAAGAAUUGCAUUCAAACUGAAGCUAGAUACAGGAGAAGGAAAAGCGACAUUCCAGUGUACGUGAAUGCGUAAGAUUGGGAGGACACCAGUGGCGAAGCGGCUUCUGGACUGUAACUGACGUGAGGCACGAAAGCGUGGGGACAACAGGAUAAUACCGUGCUAUCCACGCCGUAACGAUGAAUACUAGGUGUGGGGGCUAAGCCUCUCUGUGCGCAGUUAACACAUUAAGUAUUCGCCUGGGGUAGUACGAUUCCAGAUUAAAACUACAAAAGUAUUGACGGCGACCUCGGCCAAACACGGAGCAUGUGGAUUUUAAUUCUGAUGCAGCGGAGACCGUUACCAAACGGCUUGGACAUCUAAAGAUCUAAUAGAGAUAUUGGAGUGCCUCGAACGGUGAGCAUUUAGACACGGCUAGUGCAUGGAAUUGUCGUCACUCGUGCUCGUGACGAAUGUACGGUUAGUCAUGCAACUGAGCGUCAACCUCUUACUUUUGAGUUGCUAACAUUAAGUUGAGCACUAUAAAGGGACUGCUAAGGUUAACUUAGAGGAAGGGGGGGAUGACGUCAAAUCAUCAUGCCCUUUAUGCCUUGGGCAACACACGUGCUACAAUGGUCGGUACAAAGAGAAGCAAUACCCCGAGGAGGAUCAAAUCUUAAAAACCGAUCCCAGUUCGGAUUGCAGGCUGCAACUCGCCUGCAUGAAGCCGGAGUUGCUAGUAAUCGUGAAUCAGCAUGUCACGGUGAAUACGUUCCCGGGUCUUGCACACACCCCCCCUCACACCAUGAGAGUCAGUAACACCCGACGUCAGU
rnacentral:rRNA from 1 species